CUCCUCUGAGCGCACGCGUACUCAAAUAGCAGCGCUCCGACGGAGACGCAGUGCGCCUGCGCAAGAGCCGGUGCGUAUUUGCCUGUACCUACGCGCGAUGCCAGUACUUCUGGUCAGUUUCCAGGAGCGGCAAGUGAGGAAUAUGAAAUAACCUUAUGGCUGAAUCAGGGUGAAGGGGAAGCUUGUAAGCAUGGAAGACGCUCUACUCAAACUAAAAAGUUCAAGUUCUGAUCCAGCAGAUGAAGAGGGAGGCCUGAGAGGCUGCUGUUCUAACUCGCUCCCAGCUUUGUUGGAUGUAAUUGACUGAACAUGAACUGCUCAUAUUUAAACCAUGCCUGGCCGAAAUUGCAUGUUUUGACAUACAGAGACGGGGCCUUACUCUGCUGCCUAGGC
rnacentral:lncRNA from 1 species